rnacentral:rRNA from 1 species
AAUGAACGCUGGCGGCAUGCCUAACACAUGCAAGUCGAACGAAGGCUUCGGCCUUAGUGGCGCACGGGUGCGUAACGCGUGGGAAUCUGCCCUUGGGUUCGGAAUAACAGUUAGAAAUGACAGCUAAUACCGGAUGAUGUCGUAAGACCAAAGAUUUAUCGCCCAAGGAUGAGCCCGCGUAGGAUUAGCUAGUUGGUGGGGUAAAGGCCUACCAAGGCGACGAUCCUUAGCUGGUCUGAGAGGAUGAUCAGCCACACUGGGACUGAGACACGGCCCAGACUCCUACGGGAGGCAGCAGUGGGGAAUAUUGGACAAUGGGCGAAAGCCUGAUCCAGCAAUGCCGCGUGAGUGAUGAAGGCCUUAGGGUUGUAAAGCUCUUUUACCCGGGAUGAUAAUGACAGUACCGGGAGAAUAAGCUCCGGCUAACUUCGUG